rnacentral:rRNA from 1 species
UACGAAGGGGGCUAGCGUUGUUCGGAUUUACUGGGCGUAAAGCGCACGUAGGCGGAUCGAUCAGUCAGGGGUGAAAUCCCAGAGCUCAACUCUGGAACUGCCUUUGAUACUGUCGAUCUUGAGUUCGGGAGAGGUGAGUGGAACUGCGAGUGUAGAGGUGAAAUUCGUAGAUAUUCGCAAGAACACCAGUGGCGAAGGCGGCUCACUGGCCCGAUACUGACGCUGAGGCACGAAAGCGUGGGGAGCAAACAGG